rnacentral:rRNA from 1 species
UACGUAGGCAGCAAGCGUUGUUCGGAAUUACUGGGCGUAAAGAGUGUGUAGGCGGUGCUCCAAGUCUGGUGUGAAAUCUCCCGGCUUAACUGGGAGGGUGCAUUAGAAACUGGAAUGCUAGAGGAUGGGAGAGGUAAGCGGAAUUCCUGGUGUAGCGGUGAAAUGCGUAGAUAUCAGGAGGAACACCGGUGGCGAAGGCGGCUAUCUGGACAGAGUCUGACGCUGAGGCGCGAAAGCUAGGGGAGCAAACAGG